AACGAACGCUGGCGGCAGGCCUAACACAUGCAAGUCGAACGCUGCAGCAACGCAGAGUGGCAGACGGGUGAGUAACGCGUGGGAACCUUCCCAAUGGUACGGAAUAGCCCAGGGAAACUUGGGGUAAUACCGUAUAAGCCCCAUGGGGGAAAGAUUUAUCGCCAUUGGAUGGGCCCGCGUCGGAUUAGCUAGUUGGUGAGGUAACGGCUCACCAAGGCGACGAUCCGUAGCUGGUUUGAGAGAAUGACCAGCCACACUGGGACUGAGACACGGCGCAGACUCCGACGGGAGGCAGCAGCGGGGAAUCUUGGACAAUGGGCGAAAGCCUGAUCCAGCCAUGCCGCGUGAGUGACGAAGGCCUUAGGGUUGUAAAGCUCUUUUGGCGGGGACGAUAAUGACGGUACCUGCAGAAUAAGUCCCGGCUAACUUCGUGCCAGCCGCCGCCGUAA
rnacentral:rRNA from 1 species